ACAGAUAUAUUAAUAUUUUUUUUCGAUAAAGGGAAUAUAUUAACAGAUAUACGCACUAUAUUAAUUAUAGUUAGCAUUAUUAACCGUACUAUGAUAUUUGUUACGCAAAAUCUAAUUCUUGCUGGGGCACUGCGUUGUCUUAGACAGUGCUCACAUGUCCCAUGCGUUGGAUCGCGAUCGAGCGGCGUGCGUGAAGCGGCGCUACCUGACGAAAUAACGAGAAGAUUUUUCCUCCCCGCAUCCUGUUCGUAUCCCCUCUGUCUCUCUCUGUUCCAUUCCCCUUCUCCCUCUCCCCCGCAAGCUCCGCUCGAUCUCCAGCGCCGUCGAGUGGCCCGACGGGGGCGAAGCCCCGGCGAGUAGCGCUGGAGGAGUUUCAACGGCGCCUGAAGCUUCCUGGGAGUGGGUCGCCGUGGACUGAGGCUCCUUCGGUAGAGCACGCCGCAAAUCAAAGAGACUCGGGCUUGGCGGACGUCGUGAAGCGAUUUGGUGACGAAACCCGGUGUAGCGGCUCUGCGAAUCGACGACUCUGAGGUGGAGGCGGCCGCUGCCUGAGGUUCUGGAGUGCUCAUUUGUUUAAGACGCAGAUUGUUUCAACGAAACCACUGGUCCAUAUAUGUUUCAUGGGCAGCAGAGUUCCAAGAUGUGUAGAUGUCAAGAAGAUUUGACAGUUGUUCAUACAGUCUUGGAGACAAUUGUACAUCCUGUUCUACUUUCCAGGUUAUUUUGUCCAAUGCAGAUUUACAUGACCAAGUUGGAACGAGUACUGGUGGCAUGUCAUUUUCUUGGGUGUUCUGAUGCUUAAGUUAGUUGUUCUGGAGCACAAUUCAUGUUUGCUAGCCUAUGGUUCUAAUUAAAUCUACAAAUUAGUGUUAAAACUGAUGCCUUUUGGUUACUACUAAAUGCAGAAUAAUGCACAUAUUCAGUCUUAAAGAAGCAUGUUUUUCUGGUUGUUCAUGUGAUUGGUUUUCUUCACUUUUUUACAUGCAUGCCAGAUGAUUGUCUGCAAUGGGGUAGCAGAUCGUGAUGCAUCACCCUAAUCUGGGUUGCAAAACUACUUUACCCCUGCCCUAUUCUACAUAUAAAAAUCAGAUCUGGGGUUGCAAGGAAGAUUGAUUGACUGUAACUUUCUUGCCUUUUCUUUGUUGAUUUUUCCACUGCCCCUGACGUAGAUCUUGCUCCGCCCUUCUUUUCUCCUUAUUUUUGGUUCAAGAUAUUUCCUGCAAUUUAUGUGCUACGAGCUCUCCCAUCCAUGGAGUUCUGGUUUCAAUGGAGGAAGGAGGAACAAAGGGGAACGGAGGAAGAAGGGGUAGCAGGCGGUAGGUUUUUGGAUGUAGCUUUUGUCAUGCCUGUUUGACCCAGCUGUCAAUCGGGAGAUGGUUGUCCCGGCCCACCUUCGCGAAAGCGUGGGAACGAACGGGGAAAAGGUGGUCCUGCAAUGUUUCUUUUUUGGGUUGAUGUCGCUAUCA